UCCGGGUUUCGCCCGGCAGUCUCCCUAGAGUUCCCGGCAUUAUCCGCUGGCAACUAAGGACAGGGGUUGCGCUCGUUGCGCCACUUAAGGCAACACCUCACGACACGAGCUGACGACAGCCAUGCAGCACCUGUGUUCCGGCUCUCUUUCGAGCACCCCCACCUCUCAGCAGGGUUCCGGACAUGUCAAGGGUAGGUAAGGUUUUUCGCGUUGCAUCGAAUUAAUCCACAUCAUCCACCGCUUGCGCGGGUCCCCGUCAAUUCCUUUGAGUUUUAAUCUUGCGACCGUACUCCCCAGGCGGCACGUUUAACGCGUUAGCUCCGGCGCAGAAGGGGUCGAAUCCUCCCACACCAAACGUGCACCGUUUACUGCCAGGACUAC
rnacentral:misc_RNA from 1 species